GCACGCGGAACUUUCACGCAUUAAGUUGCAAGGGAGAGGGGGAUGGGCCCCCUCUGGUUGCGUCGUGCGGAAGG
rfam:Collinsella intestinalis DSM 13280 genomic scaffold Scfld_02_0, whole genome shotgun sequence.